rnacentral:rRNA from 1 species
UUGACUAUUAAUCGUCAUGGAAUAAAGGGCUGGGAAAGACCGGUGCCAGCCGCCGCGGUAAUACCGGCAGCUCAAGUGGUCGUCGCUUUUAUUGGGCCUAAAACGUCCGUAGCCUGUUUGGUAAAUCUGUGGGUAGAUCAACCAGCUUAACUGGUUGAAUUCUGCAGAGACUGCCAGACUAGGGACCGGGAGAGGUGUGGGGUACUCUAGGGGUAGGGGUAAAAUCCUGUCAUCCUUAGAGGACCACCAGUUGCGAAGGCGCCACACUGGAACGGAUCCGACGGUCAGGGACGAAGCCUAGGGGCACGAACCGGAUUAGAUACCCGGGUAGUCCUAGGUGUAAACGCUGUGAACUUGGUGUCGGUAGUCGCAAUGGGCCCCCGGUGCCGGAGUGAAGAUGUUAAGUUCACUGCCUGGGGAGUACGGUCGCAAGGCUGAAACUUAAAGGAAUUGGCGGGGGAGCACUGCAACGGGAGGAGCGUGCGGUUUAAUUGGAUUCAACGCCGGAAAUC